rnacentral:rRNA from 1 species
CCCUUAGACGGUCUGGGCGGCACGCGCGCUACAAUGAUGCAUUCAAAAAGUCUUCUGACCUUAGAAGGUUGGGUAUUCUCCAAAAUGCAUCGUGAUGGGAAUAGUUGAUUGCAUUUUUUAAUCUUGAACGAGGAAUUCCUAGUAAGUACAGGUCAUCAACUUGUGUUGAUUACGUCCCUGCCCUUUGUACACACCGCCCGUCGCUCCUACUGAUUGAGUGUCUCGGUGAAUUAUUUGAUCUUCUGUCGAUUCAGUUCACUGAUCCGACGGUGGAAAGUUGAAUGAACUUCGUCACUUAGAGGAAGGAGAAGUCGUAACA